AUUGAACGCUGGCGGCAGGCCUAACACAUGCAAGUCGAACGAGUGGCGGACGGGUGAGUAAUGUCUGGGAAACUGCCUGAUGGAGGGGGAUAACUACUGGAAACGGUAGCUAAUACCGCAUACCAUCGGAUGUGCCCAGAUGGGAUUAGCUCGUUGGUGGGGUAACGGCUCACCUAGGCUACGAUCCCUAGCUGGUCUGAGAGGAUGACCAGCCAAACGGGAAAGGAGACACGGUCCAGACUCCUACGGGAGGCAGCAGUGGGGAAUAUUGCACAAUGGGCGCAAGCCUGAUGCAGCCAUGCGGCGUGUGUGAAGAAGGCCUUCGGGUUGUAAAGCACUUUCAGCGGGGAGGCGUUACCCGCAGAAGAAGCACCGGCUAACUCCGUGCCAGCAGCCGCGGUAAUAC
rnacentral:rRNA from 1 species